CGCGCAUCCAUACAGCCUCUCCAUUACCUCAACAUUGCAAUCCGCGGUGGCGCUGCCGACGUCAUCUUUAAUCAGAAAAAUAUGCGGGUUCUUCGGAGCAGCAAGCCACGCUCCUACAACUCCUCAAACUCCUGCAAAUCAAGUGUCAACAAACAGCGUCCGUUCAAAGCGCCGCUUCCUGACCUGAAAAAUAUGCGGGUUCUUCGGAGCAGCAAGCCACGCUCCUGCAAAUCAAGUGUCAACAAACAGCGUCCGUUCAAAGUGCCGCUUCCUGACCUGGUGAGUUACCGCUUAUCAAGUUUAUUUUGCUGCCUACACACCUUCAGGAGACACAGGGCUGAUGGCGGUAGGCUGUGGGCG